rnacentral:rRNA from 1 species
AUACAUGCAAGUCGAGCGAUGAUUAAAGAUAGCUUGCUAUUUUUAUGAAGAGCGGGAACGGGUGAGUAACGCGUGGGAAAUCUGCCGAGUAGCGGGGGACAACGUUUGGAAACGAACGCUAAUACCGCAUAACAAUGAGAAUCGCAUGAUUCUUAUUUAAAAGAAGCAAUUGCUUCUUUUAACAGAUGAUCCCGCGUUGUAUUAGCUAGUUGGUACUGUAAAGGACUACCAAGGCGAUGAUACAUAGCCGACCUGAAAGGUUGAUCGGCCACACUGGCACUGAGAUACGCCCAAGCCCUCCCACGGGAGCGAUCAUUACGUAA